rnacentral:rRNA from 1 species
UACGUAGGGAGCAAGCGUUGUCCGGAAUCAUUGGGCGUAAAGCGCGCGUAGGCGGCCCUGUAAGUCCGCUGUGAAAGUCAAAGGCUCAACCUUUGAAAGCCGGUGGAUACUGCAGGGCUAGAGUCCGGAAGAGGCGAGUGGAAUUCCUGGUGUAGCGGUGGAAUGCGCAGAUAUCAGGAGGAACACCGGUGGCGAAGGCGGGUCUCUGGGCAGUAACUGACGCUGAGGAGCGAAAGCGUGGGGAGCAAACAGG